AUCCUGACCCUUCUUCCCCACGUGACGGUGGUGGGAAACAAUUUCAAAAAGAAGAGGGAAGCGUUCGACCCAUCCAGUGUAGUACACCCCGGGUGAAACAACUUACCUGUGUGUGACGCCAGCGGAGGCCGUGUUCGGCCCAACGCAACAGUAGUUUUCGAUCCGCCUCUCUAUCAGCAGUUGGUAGAAGCCUCAGAAAAGGAACGUCUGACGUCUAUUCCCUCGAAGAUCUAGCGUGUCCCUUUGAAGCGUCUACCUGCAUGUCGAC
ensembl:lncRNA